UACAGAGGGUGCGAGCGUUGUCCGGAAUCACUGGGCGUAAAGGGCGCGUAGGUGGCGGCAUAAGGCUGUGGUGAAAGUCUGGGGCUCAACUCCAGAUCGGCCGCGGCGACUGUGUCGCUUGGGCACCGUAGAGGCAGAUGGAAUUCCGGGUGUAGCGGUGGAAUGCGUAGAGAUCCGGAAGAACACCGGUGGCGAAGGCGGCCCGCUGGGCUGUGGCUGACGCUGAGGCGCGACAGCGUGGGGAGCAAACAGG
rnacentral:rRNA from 1 species